rnacentral:rRNA from 1 species
UACGUAGGUGGCAAGCGUUGUCCGGAUUUACUGGGCGUAAAGAGCGCGCAGGCGGUCGUUCAAGUCGCGUGUGAAAGCCCCCGGCUCAACUGGGGAGGGUCACGCGAUACUGAUCGACUCGAAGGCAGGAGAGGGAAGUGGAAUUCCCGGUGUAGUGGUGAAAUGCGUAGAUAUCGGGAGGAACACCGGUGGCGAAGGCGACCACCUGGACGGAGACUGACGCUGAGGUGCGAAAGCGUGGGGAGCAAACAGG